GUAGUCAUAUGCUUGUCUCAAAGAUUAAGCCAUGCAAGUCUCAGUACAGACUGUAUUAAAGUGAAACCGCAAAAAGCUCAGUAAACCAGUUUUAAUUUACUAGAGUAAACUUGACUGUGCUUGGAUAACUGUGGUAAUUCUAGAGCUAAUACAUGCAAACAAACCCCCGGCCAUUUAUGGUAGGGGCGCUUUUAUUGGUACAAGACCAUUCGCCCGGUCCGCCGGGCGUCUCCUUGAUGAAUCCAAAUAACACAUCAGAUCGCAUGGUCCUCGUACCGGCGACUUAUCUUUCAAAUGCCUGACUUAUCAACUGACGAUGGUAGACUCUGUGUCUACCAUGGCUCCUACGGGUAACGGGGAAUCAGGGUUCGAUUCCGGAGAGGGAGCCUGAGAAACGGCUACCACAUCCAAGGAAGGCAGCAGGCACGCAAAUUACCCACUCCCGGCACGGGGAGGUAGUGACAAAAAAUAACGAUACGGGACUCGAUAUGAGGCCCCGUAAUCGGAAUGAGUACACUUUAAACCCUUAUUCAAAUAUCAAUUGGAGGGAAAGUUCUGGUGCCAGCAGCCGCGGUAAUUCCAGCUCCAAUAGCGUAUAUUAAAGUUGUUGCAGUUAAAAAGCUCGUAGUUGGUUCUGCGUCCCACGCUGUCGGUACACCUUUUGUUGGUGACACUGGCAUGCCGUGGUAUGUCCUGUCGGUGGCGGCCUUCGGUGGCCCUAGCGCUUCGGAUAAAACCGUCGUGCGAAGGUCUACCCGGUCGCCGGCUACUAUCCUACUCCGGUGCUCUUCAUUGAGUGUCGAGGUAGGCCGACACGUUUACUUUGAACAAAUUUGAGUGCUUAAAGCAGGCAAAAAUCUCUGCCUGAAUAGUGGUGCAUGGAAUAAUGGAACAGGCCCUUGGUUCUAUUUUGUUGGUCUUCGGAACACAAGGAAAUGAUCAAUGUGGACAGGCGGGGGCAUUCGUAUUGCGGCGUUAGAGGUGAAAUUCUUGGAUCGUCGCAAGACGCACUAGAGCGAAAGCAUUUGCCAAGUAUGUCUUAAUUGAUCAAGAACGAAAGUUAGAGGUUCGAAGGCGAUCAGAUACCGCCCUAGUUCUAACCAUAAACGAUGCCAGCCAGCGAUCCGCCGAUGUUCCUCCGAUGACUCGGCGGGGAGCUUUCUUCGGGAAACCAAAGCUUUUGGGUUCCGGGGGAAGUAUGGUUGCAAAGCUGAAACUUAAAGGAAUUGACGGAAGGGCACCACAAGGAGUGGAGCCUGCGGCUUAAUUUGACUCAACACGGGAAACCUCACCAGGUCAGGACAUUGGAAUGAUUGACGGAUUGAUAGCUCUUUCUUGAUUCAGUGGGUAGUGGUGCAUGGCCGUUCUUAGUUGGUGGAUCGAUUUGUCUGGUUAAUUCCGAUAACGAACGAGACUCUAGCCAAUUAACUAGACGUUUCCGGUAUCGAAGCUACCGGCGAUAUAUUAUCUUCUUAGGGGGACAGGCGGCUCUUAGCCGCACGAGAUUGAGCAAUAACAGGUCUGUGAUGCCCUUAGAUGUCCUGGGCCGCACGCGCGCUACACUGAAGGAAUCAGCCUGUUCGUUCCCUUGGCCGAAAGGCCCGGGUAACCCGCUGAACCUCCUUCGUGCUAGGAAUUGGGGCUUGCAAUUGUUCCCCAUGAACGAGGAAUUCCUAGUAAGCGCGAGUCAUAAGCUCGCGUUGAUUACGUCCCUGCCCUUUGUACACACCGCCCGUCGCUACUACCGAUUGAAUGAUUUAGUGAGGUCUUCGGACCGGCGGUAAGCCCAACCGACUUCGGCCGGUUUUGUCGAACGCUGGAAAGAUGACCAAACUUGAUCAUUUAGAGGAAGUAAAAGUCGUAACAAGGUUUCCGUAGGUGAACCUGCGGA
rnacentral:rRNA from 1 species